UGGAAAUGGAAAAAAAAUGGAUCUA
rnacentral:piRNA from 1 species